GGCAGAUGUCGACCUGGACAUCUGCGGGCACACGCUUUUUGCGAUCGGCCUUUGUGUCCACGAGUUCUGCUUGAUGUUUGCCAACAUCACUUCCGAACCAAGAACUGGGGGCCUGCCGGUUGCUGCCAUCACACACAAGGUCAAGCAGGCUAACAAGCAGCAAUGCUGUGUUUGCAGCGAGAGGGGGGCUGCCAUCACAUGCGCAGAGAGCGGCUGUGCACGCAGCUUCCAUCUGACCUGUGCCGCAGACGGGGAAUGCAUCAGCCAGCACU